AUAAUAUAAAGGACAAUACAAAGGAUAUUUUUUAUAUAAUGAAUGCACAAUGUACGGAUUAUAAUUAAUGAGUUACACAGUGAAAAGAAGCUCUUUCCUUUUGAUAGUAAAUAAUCAUAAAAAAGGUAAAUAGGAUGACUGUGUGUGUGUUCACAAAAAAAGGUCAAAAAAGGAGGGAGGUAAAAAAGGUGUGUGUGUGUGAAAGGAGUGUGUGUGUGUGUUCAUAAAAAAGGUAAAAAAGGAGGGAGGUAAAAAAGGUGUGUGUGUGUGAAAGGAGUGUGUGUGUGUGUUCAUAAAAAAGGU
rnacentral:misc_RNA from 1 species